ACCCCUAAAAGUCGUCCCAGUUCAGAUCGCAGUCUGCAACUCGACUGCGUGAAGUCGGAAUCGCUAGUAAUCGCGGAUCAGCAUGUCGCGGUGAAUACGUUCCCGGGUCUUGUACACACCGCCCGUCACACCAUGGGAGUCGGAAAUGCCCGAAGUCAGUGACCCAACCGUAAGGAGGGAGCUGCCGAAGGUGGAGCCGGUAACUGGGGUGAAGUCGUAACAAGGUAAC
rnacentral:rRNA from 1 species